AACAAAAACAUUAGAUUGUGAUUCUAAAAACUAGAGGUUAAAGCCCCCUUAUCCACC
rnacentral:tRNA from 1 species